rnacentral:lncRNA from 1 species
AUAUUCGAUUAAUUAAUACUUAUCAACAAUUAAUCAAAGUCAUAUCCCUCAAGUCAAAUCUGAUUAGGAGUUAGUACCAUAUAUAUGUAUGUUUCCGUUAUUAAGGGAAAAACUGAAAACUUUGUUUAGCACAAAAACUUGUUUCAGUUGAACACAUUGCCGAUUGCUCUACCAUGGAUGAUGAUGGUGAACUCUCCUUGGAAGAAACGUUAAUGUUAAUGUAUGCGGCAGUCGGAGGCAUAUUCCUUUGGCUUAUCUUUUUGAGCCUUAUAGUAUUUUUUCAUGUUCGUCAGUGGCUAUCUCUUGAUAAACCCUCAUAUACUAAUCUGAGAACUGAUGAGGGGACCAGCGACCACGACGUGGACCAGGGUCCAGGGAUCUGAUAUCCUCAAUCGGGUUUGAAGACUUAAUGGUUUGUUCUUUAAUCAUGGGACUAGUUCAAUUUGUUAUUAGUUUUUUUUUUGUAGAAAAAGCAUUUACAAUACUAUUCUUGUCAUCGUCUUUAUAAGUGGAAUGAACUUCUCAAUAUUUUGUUUUCUGCUUCUGUUUUAUUCUACGAGUGAUAUAAACACUUUCAAUGGAAUUUAUUAAUUAUAUUUAUUUAUCAUGCGUUACAAGUUUACCCCGUAAGUGUUCGUG